rnacentral:lncRNA from 1 species
UAUAUAAAAGUGUGAUAAAUAGUAUUACCUGAAUAGAGACACCUGAACUAAAUUGCUUGGCCACCACAUUUCACCUGGCUCAACAAGGUGCUUACGGAAUAGACCAGCCCACCCAAAUCCGAGAAACUACAAAAGAGUUUUCAUAGGUGAAAAAGGUAAGAAAAUAUUCCACCAGUGGUCUCAAUAUUGUAAAAGUAAUUAUCAGUAAACUUCAAACCAACGCCAACAAUAUUUUUGACUUGGACAAAAAAUGAGUUUCAAAAACUUAAAGAAGUAAAUAAAUUAACAAAAUUCUUAGUUUAGAUAGUUUAAUGUUUGUAACAUUCGAUUUGACUAUUAGAAUAGAAAUUCCUACUAAAGAAAUUGAAUGAAUAAACACAAAUAUCGCAACCAAUCCAAACGAUGAAUUCUCUAACUUAAAAGGUUAAAUAAAGUAACAAAAUUAUUAGUUUAGAUAGUUAAAUGUUUGUAAUGUUCGACUUGACUAUUAGAAUAUAAAUAAUAUAAAUUCCUACUAGAGAAAUUGAAUGAAUAAGUACAUACUAUUGCAAACCAAUCCAAAUGAUGGAUUCUCUAACUGAACAACAACGAAAAAGAGAAUCAGUAACAUAUAACUACAUCCGAAUUUAAAACAACCAAAUUACAUAUUUCUAAAAUUCUUAACAAACGAUAGUAACGAUCCGUUAGUUCAAAUAGAAGAAAGGGGAUUGCAUGCUUAAAUUUAGGGCACAGAAGAAACAUUUUACCUGAGUAGUGAUCAUUAUGAGAAAAGCCGGUAGAAACGGAAGAGAUCUCUUGUAGUAAAGCUUAAUAGCACUAAGUAUAUGAGUCGCAUAAACCGUUCCUGCUCCAGAAUUGGCAAAAAUCGUGAUCAUAACAUGUUCCUUGACAUUAAAAGGACCAGGAUUCAUGUUAAACUCCCACCUUGAUCCUUCCAAGUACUUCUUAUUUGGAAGCACUCUAGCCAUCAGAUGACCGAGCGGCACGACCGCUAUCUGAGCAGAGAUUCCGGUUAUUGACAAUGGCAUCCGUCUGUACCAGAAAAACUGGUUUAUGAACGAUAGUAUGAUACAAGCUCCAAGACCUAAAACCCACAUUCUAAAAGUGAGAACCGGUAACGUUGGAUCAUCGGUUUUUGGGACGGUUAACUCAACCUCCUCCACCGCGCACCGGUCUAACUCAUCGACGCCUUCUUCUAUUUCCAUGGCUGCGGUCGAGGGCUUUACAGUGGACCCCUUUACAGUCGCCGCCAUUGGAAAAUAUAGGAAAGCUAUUAUGGACUGAUAAUGAGUAUCGUGGGAGGUGUGGUGAAUCUUAUAUAAGGUUAAAGGCGAAAAGAAAAAAAUUUAGAUUAGGCGAAGAUUCUCGUUAUUGAAUCUUUUUUUUUUUUUGUGCACCAACUGAUUAAAUAAAACUUAAAGGUUCAAUACAAAAGCAUUUAAAGUUUGCUUGGCUAGUAAGUCAACAGAGGAAACAGAGUCUCUGUUAACCCAGCGAAAAGAAACAGAGGUGAACGCCUCUUUCAACGUUUUGAUGUCCGAUAAGAUUCCAUGCAAAUCUGCGUAGGAUGAGUCCUCUAGUAUUGCUGUCACCAACAUCUUCGAGUCUGAUUCAAAAGAGAUUUGAUUGUAAUCUAAUACCAGUGCCUGCUCCAUUGCUGCGCGCAAGGCAAGCCCCUCCGCCACGAGGGGUGAUUUCACAUAGGUGAAAAUUUCUGAAUCCGACCUAUUGAGACCAGAAUUCAGUUGUGAGAAGUUCCAAGCUGCUCCCGCAGCCAUUCUUUCCUGAUUCCAGGCAGCGUCAGUUUUGCAGGUGAUUCCAAUUCUUAUUGUUUCUCCCGCCCGUUUCUUGGAAGGUUCAGGGUCCGUCUUCUUUUCCUGCGCUACUGCCCAUUCCUUAGCAUCCACAAUCGCCUUCGUAACCACUUCCUGAGGUGUAAAGAUUUUCUCUUGGAAGAUUCUGUAGUUUCUUGUGGUCCAUAACCUCCAUAUUACCCAGGCUGUGAUUGAACCAGCAUUUACUCCCGUAGGUGGUAGGCUCACCGCACCAACAACUGCGAUCCAAUUAUCAACAAAACGAUCCGACUCCAAGGGCAAUAUAUCAUUCUUGACUGGGACCAUUCUCCACACUUCCUGAGCAAGAGGGCAUGAGAAAAAGACGUGAUCUAUAGAUUCCACGGCUCCGCAAACGCCACACUCAGCUGUUGGGAUAAUGUUCCGAGCUGCUAGUCUCUCAUUGACUGGGAGGCCUCCAUGGAUCGCUUUCCAUAUUAGUAGUUUGAUCUUCGUUGGUGUAUGCAACUCCCACACUUUCUUAAUCCAUGGGACCUGUCUUAAUGCUGCAGCCCCUGCCUCAUCCGGCUUAUCUUCUAAAGCCGCUAGGUAUCCAGACUUCGUAUUAUACUUCCCAGAAUCAUGUUUUAACCAGAUUCUCUUGUCGGGGCCUUUCUCCUUGCUUGGUUUGAUACUUAGUAUCUUAUGGGCGAUCUCUGGGAACAAAGUUUCCACUUUACCUAUGUCCCACUCGCACGAAUUUGCUUGAAAUAGGGUCUUGACAAAGGCUUCAUUAGUCUGUUCAGUUGCUGGUCCCAUCGGUGUCUCUGCUUUGGUCGUUGAUAGCCAUGCAUCCGACCAUAUUUGGACUGUCUCUCCAUUGCCUAUUGCCCAUCCAAGGUGCUUAUUGACCAAGUCUCGCCCAAUCAGUAUACUUCUCCACCCGUGUGAACAGUUCUGUGACGCUUGGACCUCUAGCAGCGGACUGUACUUACAGUAUUUUCCCUGCAGUAUACGUGCUAGUAAACAGUCCGGGUUCUCCAAAAUCCGCCAACUUAAUUUGCCCAGUAACGCGUCAUUGAAACUUUGAAUGUCUCUAAACCCAAGGCCUCCAUCUCUUUUCGAGUUUGUCAUCUUACUCCAUGAGAUCCAUGCCAUCUUCUGUUGGUCUUGGUUUGGAUCCCACCAAAAUCUAGUUAAGGCGGACUGAAUUCGUUUGCACAAAGAAGUCGGUAACUUGAAGCAAGACAUCGAGUGGUUCGGCAUUGCCGAGAGAACCGACUUAAGCAUAACCAUUUUGCCCGCUGAAGAUAGGAAUCGCGUUGACCACCCCUUAGCUUUUUGCCGGAUUCUGUCCACUGUUGAGGUGAAAAGAUCUUUUUUCCGUCUCCCAAAAUGCUCGGGUAGUCCAAGAUACUUCCCCACUCCCCCCUCCUUUUGUAUAUCCAGCUCCUUUUUUACUCUGUCUUUCAGGCUCUGUGGCGCUUUCCGGGAGAAUGUAAUUGCUGAUUUCUGCUUGUUUAUCAUCUGUCCUGAUGCUUGCUCGUAUAGCUUCAGUAUCUCAUUCAGCUUGUUGAUGCUCUGUUGGUUUGUCCGGCAGAAAAACAUCGUGUCAUCUGCAAAAAGGAGAUGAUUGACUCGAGGGCAAUCUGUUGCAACUCGGAUUCCUUGUAACGAUCCCUCGCUUUGAGCUUGCAAGCAUAACCCGGAAAGGACUUCACUGCAAAGGAUGAACAAGUAAGGAGACAGCGGGUCUCCUUGCCGCAAACCUCGUGUUGGAAUGACUCUCCCUUUGGCCGUGUCAUUGAUCAGAAAAGAGAAAGAGACUGUAGUCACACACUGCAUAAUCAAGCCGACCCACUUCUGAUCGAAACCCAAUCUUUCAAUCUCGUUAUUGAAUCUAAUCACAUCUUUUUCCGUAAAAUUCGAUGUACUAGUUUUACUGAUUAAUUAACAGAUAUACCUUAAUCGUUAACAUCGCUUGUUAUCCAAAAAUAUUUAAACAAAAUUGAGUAGGAAAAGAUCAUUUAAAAGCAAAGUCGAACCAAUCAAACUUAGCUUUCGUUUGUUACCUUUUAAAAAUAUUUUUAAAAAUCUCGAGAAUGCUUAAAUCUCAACUUACAAAUCAAUCUCGUAUCUAUACAAUGUUUUGAAAAGCGGACCGAACAUUGACUCAACAUUAUAGUUGGUCAAUAGUCGGACUGGUCCAACCGGUUCAAUCUGGUUCUAAUGUUUUGACAAAUUGCUGAGACUCGCCGCUCUCUUCACAUAUGCUACGUCUUACGUGUAUAUUUAGGCAAUUAACCUUGUCACAUUUUUUUUAUGUAGCAUUUUAAUUUUGUUGCAUUACUCUAUUUGUAUAUGAUUAAUCUACGGGAUAAUUUUUUUUUGUCAAAGGAAUUCUACGAACAUACUGGAUCAGUCAUUUUGGAUAUAUUUGGACACAUUCAAAAAUUUACAAAACUUUAAAAGAAUUUAAAAAACUAAUUUCCACUAAAAAUUGCAUAAAUUACUAUAAAUUUUUCGGAGCAUAAUUAUUGUAAAAGACUACGUUCAUAUAAACUUUAGUUUUUGAACUUGUGAUCAUAUAUAUCUAAUUACUUUUUUAAAAAAAGACCGUAUCAUCCCCACGCACAAAGCAAAAACUAAACUGUUUUAUACAGUGCUUGCCUUGGAAAAAUGCAAAAGGAAGCUCGUGCUUCUGGUCGUUAAAAAUUAUAAAUUUUUGCGGCCGACUUUUUUCUAAAAGUUACAAUUAAUUCAGUGGAAAGGCUUAGUCUUUAGAGUAUUUUUUUAGAGAUGGCUAGUGUUUUUUUUUUUUUUUUUUUAUCCACCGCCACUUCCUGAAAUGCAGUCUCUAAACCUGUGCAAGAAACGCCAGCCUCACCACCGUAGAAGGAACAAGACCAAUCACCACGGCGCCGGGAUGUGAGCUUCGACUGGAUGCUGACUCUGAGGCGGCGAAUGACCCCCGAGAACCGCCUAAGCAACCAAGGCCUUUGAGAACCAAAGGACCAAUUUCUUGAUCAAGAACUAUCAACCCCUGAGCCACGGGGUGUGAUAUGACGAUGAUGAGCGAGAGACUUGAACUCGUCGAGUGAAGCCGUCACCUACUCUCGGAGAAGAACAAAACAGGAAGCCAGGAGCAGGAGCUCCGAAAGAGUUGCGAGGCAACAAGAAGACCUCUCAUGGCCAUAGACGACCACUCGAGGUGAACCGGAAAACACACGCACGAAGAAAUCAGACCGGACACUUUCACCACGAUCACAUCCGCCUUCAACCCUCGUCUCCUAAGCCCUCAAAGAACCUGAGAGAACUCUUGGUUACGGCAAGCCAAGCAUCGGAAUCUCUCCGACCCGAAGAAAUCCUAAGCAAACACCACCAUAACCGAACAAGCACGAGCACCAGCAACAGACCCGCAGCUGCAGACCACCGCCGAAGCCACCGUGACAAGACCCUUUGCUACCACUCCUCGACGACAGAGAACCCGAGAGAUCCAUAAAAGGGAAAAGUGAAUCUCUCCAUAAACUCAAAAGCCGACUCUAGAUCGCUCUACUUCGCCGGACCCUCACCGCAAUUCCGGAGAAAGAGCUACCCCUACCUUGAAUCGGCUCCUCGCGACUGAAGCUUCCACCGGCGACGCAAGCUCGAACCUAGAAGAGCAAGCAUAUCGGGAGAGGGAGAGCAGAGACGACCUAGAGCAAAGAGGAAGACGAGACAGAGGAGAAGAGACCCCUCCGGCUCCGGCGCGCGCUCUGACGCGACGUCCGUACGCCGGAGAGUAAGAUUCAGUCGCAGAUGAGAUGAAAGGUCGAGAGAGAAUGUGGAUAGAGGAGAGAGAAAUCUCUGAUGGCUAGUGUUUGUCUCUUGUAUAUUUGCAUAUUUCGUCUCCGAGCUCUAUGCACCAAAUAGAAAUCGGCACAUAUUCAAUAUCCAUAAAUUUCAGAAGAUUUUGAAUCCAUCUUCUUCUUUUUAAACACUUUGAAUCCAUCAAACCUUUAUAUUUGCUAUCCAAAAUUGGGAUAUGCAUAUAAAGCAGACAUUUGAAUCCGUUUUAGGAUAAAAAGUUUAAAAUCAUACUAUAAUUUUCACAAUACAUAAUAUAAUAAUUUUCUCAAAUUGCGCUAUUAUGUUUUGCAUAAAUCAUACUAGUUUAUUUUCACACAAAAAAGAUUGGAAUAGUAAACAGAUGUAAACUUACUUUGAAUUUCUAGUUUUUAGCAAAAAUUACAGAUUAAAUGUUGAUUUUGUACUUUUAUAUAAUUUUGAAGAUUGUUGAUAAAAAAAUUAUAAGUUAAAUGCUGAAAAAUUUUAAAAGACAUUUUGCCAACAAAGUUAAUUUCUUUGCAAAAUUAUUUUGAAAAUUUAAAGUCACUAUUAUUCUUUAUUAUAAUUAGAAAAAUAACACUGAAUUUCUUUUAUAUAUAAAUACUACAUUAUUCGAGGUCUGGAUAUCAACUUUCAAAAUUCUUUAUUAUUUGGAUCUAGAUUUGCAGUAUCUGUAAUUUAAAUACCCGGAUUCAUAUUUGGAUUCAGAUAACCUAAAUAUCCGAGUAUAUCUGAAUAGAUAAAGACGGUCUCGAAUCUUAGAUAUUGUCAGUCAACCGCUGGCCAAAACAGUUUUCUGCUUACUUGUCAAAAACUCAAGAGUUAGAUAGUUUUAUGGGCUUUACCUGCACCUGAUAUUUAGGUUUAGGCUUUUAAUAGAUUUUAUCAAUUGGGCUGUCUUUAAUUUCCGGAUAUAAUGUGAAGGAGCCGGAUACUAAAAGUUUUGGACCGCUUUGCUACAUCAUCUAUGUUAAUAAAGAAUCAAAGAUUAGUAAACUCUUAUUCAAAUUGAAUUUUAUCUGUUUCGAUAAAUAAACGAAAAUGUCUCUAAUAUUUAAUGUUAUGACUCGGAUCAUUUAAAAAAAAAAACAAUUAGAUAGUUUCAAUCAUCGUUUUAAAAAUAUGUGCAAAAGAUUCCCAAAUGGCAUCCCUACAUGCCACAGGCGCACAAACUAACGAACCAAAGUACAGACAUUGACUUUUUCUUUUGAUUUUGCUUUUUCUGAAAUCUUGUACGGUAAAAAUAUAUGUAGGUCUAUAAUCAGAUUCAGAUGGGACCCACAAAUGAUGAGAAGAAAGACAGUUGUUACGGUACUGGUUGAGAUUUAGGAAGAGAAGUGUUUAGGACAGCUAGUCGUGCCCACACGGUGUCAGUGGUGGUCCUCGCCAAAUGGGGUUUGAUUAGAAGGACCAGUGUCCAGUCCAUAAGGGAUGUGACAAUUUCUCUCACUUUUUGUUCUUUUGAUCAUAUGAGGAAAUUCCUUUUCAAAUAAUGAAAACAAAAACAUGAACUUAAAGAAUGUUUGUUUACAUUUACAACGAAGGUUUUUGUGUGCUCGACAAUGUUUAGACUAAAUCAAGAGAUUAUAUGGUUGAAAGAGUAUAUCUUGUACAGAAUGUUCCUAUUUCAUAAUUUUCCAGUAAUCCUCCAUAUGAAAUGAACUCUUCUAUUCUACUGUAUCGACCAGCUGACUAAUUUUAAAUUAAUUCUAGAAUCAAUUUCUAGUGUAAUUCAGUUUCUCGCUUUACAGUUGGCAUUAAUUAUGAUGGCUAUUUGUCAUUGCCGACGGGUCUUGUGCAUCUAUCUUUUUUUUCUUGAACAACUGAUCAUGAGUCGCUGUGUGUAUGGAUGGUGUGGUGUAUACAUAUAUUAAAUUGUAUGACAUAUUUAUUGCAAAUGAAACAUAAAACCAGGUUUAAAAGACCGUAUUGCAAAAAAAAAAAAAAUAUCCAAACCAAAAUUGUUUAUAUUAGUGUCGUAAAUUUUUAAUUGAAUAGUAAUAAUUCUUACGAGAAGUGAGAACAUAUCUGUCUUGAGUUCUUAGGUCGAGGUAUGUCAUAAUUAACUCCUACCUUCGCAAGUCCAUAACAUCUCGUGGUCCUUCCACGUACUCUUUCACUGCUCACGCAUGGACCAAACCCUAGCUCUCUUCUCUUUUUUUUUUUUGAACAAUCUCUCUUCUAUUAUUUCUCUCCUUAAUUUCAACAACUGUCUAGGGUUUUUGUCAAUUGCCGAGAAAAUGCAUCAUUUUCUCAGCAAUCGAGAAAGUAAAAAAUCAAGACACCAUAACUCGUUAAUCAAAAAAAAAUUUUUUGUCUAGUUGUCUUGGAUUUUGAGUGUGAUGUCUUAAGAGUUUGAAUAAAACCUAACUUCCAUCAAUGCCAAAAGAAAACUCCAUAUCCGAUUGUCUUGAAUACUGAGUAGUGUCUUGCCAUUUUGAAUUCCAGUUCUAGCCAAACUUCCAUCAAUGCGAAAACUUCAAUUCAAACCUACUUCCAGCGUAGAAAAAUGGAUUGUUCGUAUUGUGAUGCUUAUCCAUAGUUAAAUUUAUACUUUUCAUAAUAAAUGUCAUUCUAACAUUUGUUUUGUUACAAAAAAGUAUCACUUUACAAUUUCAAUACAAAAUAUACUUACUUUCCGCUGAAAAUUAAUUUUAAACUGCAUUGAUUUUAUAAAAAAAAAUAUUUAUCUCAAAUACUAUUGGUCAGAGAAGUGUAAUUAAUAAUAACUUACAUAUAUUUCAGCAAAUUUCUUAAUAUGUGUGAAAAAUAUCAUAGUGACAUUUAUUCAGAAACGGAUGAAGUAUUUAUUGUAGAUUUUCAGUUUAAAAUAUUUGUAAUUAGUGGAUUGAUCUAAGGCUUAUAUAUAUUAAAUCAAAUUAUGUUCCAAUUUCAAAACAGAACAUAUAUUUUUUCACACAAUCUUUUAGAUAAUAAUUUUUCCCAUGGAUUUUGACAGAUUUUAGUAUGAAUUAGAUCAACCCAAUCUUGGAUCAAAUCAAUUAGGUGAAAUCAAGGUAACAAUAACAUUUCAAUGUAGUUGCUCUUAAUAUUUAUUACUUUUAGAAAGAUUCAUGUUUUAGAAAAAAAAGUUUCUAAAAUAUUUAUAUUUUACAUUUUCAAUGUAUAUAUGUAAUAAUGAUAAAUUGUAAAUUCUAAAGAUAUUAAUUGUGUUUACCGAAUUUAAUUGAUUAAAAAUCAUAAGAAAUAGCUAAACACGAAAAACAAUGCAUUUAUUGUCAAAAUUUUACGAGUUUUUUUUAAUCCUACUAUAUAAAAAGGACUAAAUUCAAGGCUUUUGGAACUAUCCACCUCAGCCAAAAUAUUCUCAUCCAAAAAGAAUUAUAAAUAGAUGUCAUUUAGAAGAUAAUUAACUAACAUACAACUUUUGAUAUUUCUAAAAAUUUUAAAUUUGUAACUGCUAAUUUAUUAAUAGAAUCAUAUAUCUAUAUUGAAUUAUGUUCUAUUUUUAAUCGUUAGACUUUAAGGGUAAAUAAAUUAUUAAUUUAUAAUAUAUAUAGUUUAUAACUUUAUAUUGUAGUUAUAAAUAAAAAGAAAAUAACCGGAAAGCAGGUGGAUGGCUGACUGAAAGUAGAGCUUGAUGACUGGAGUAGCAUGCGCAUCUGCGUUGACGCGAGGUUGAUUGAUCCAUACUACAACAGAGUGUAGAUCAGCCGGAGGAGAAAUCCAAACUUCAGCAGCAAAAGGCUCCCAUAUCAAGCGAGAGAAAGAGCAUUCAAAGAAGAGAUGAUGGUGAAUCUCUAUUUCCAGAUUACAAAGGACGCACGUUCCUGAGACAUUUAACCCCCAAUGCCUCAAGCGAUCCUUGGUUGGCAGUCUUCUCCGCAAAGCCAGCCAUGAUAUAAACGCAUUACGUGGAAUAUGUUCCUUGAACCAAAUAGUCUUGUGCCAAUAUUUGUUGUUGAUAGUGUUUAUAUUCUUUUCUGACAUUAGUAUCCAUAUUUUUUAGUAAACUGAUCCAAAGAGAUUAGUUUGUGGAGCUAACCAAACGAGGAUUAUAGUGUUUACUUUGGAAAAAGUAAUAGGUUGAAUGAUAGAUGGUGUGAGUGCUUUUUCACAUAGAAAUCUGCACAUAUAUUAAAAUUGUAAGAUUUGAAUCAUAGAGAAAAUAUAGUGUAUAUGACUGAAGUUGGGCCAUUCCGAAAUAAAGAUGGCUAAAAUUCUUCUUUGUCAAAAUGCAUAGAUGUGAAUCUUAUAUGAAUAGAGUUCUCCAUUGAUUAUAGAAGUGUAAUAAACUCCGUGUCUAAAGGAGAAAAAAUGUUAUAUAAGUGAAAACAAAAAUUAUGAUUUUUUUUUCUUGUGCCAAUAGGCUCUUUGCAAUUUGAAGAAGAAAGAACAUAUUAUGCGAAAAUCUUUGGCUCGGUCAAAUUUUAUCCAGUUGUGUAUAAAACUGUUGUUAUAUGAUUCAUGUAAUUUUUCAGUGUUGAUUUAAAAGCCUAAAAAACCUAUCUAUACUGACUUUUUGAUAUUUUUUCUGUGAUUUGAAUUUAAAAAGAGAUAAAACUUUCGAUAAGUUAUGUAAACUCAGAACAAGUAUUUAGCUUUAGAAAGCAUUUACAUGUUUCAAACUUAUAAUAUAUACAUAUAUAAUGUUUAAAAUUAUGCAUAUAAACCUGUGUAAAAUGUGCCUGAAUAUGUUUUUCUUCUUUAAUGUGUUAAUCGUACUAUAUAUAACAUUAUUUUAAAAUUUCAAAAAGUUUAUCAUAUACAAAAAACCAUCAAUAAAAAAGAUAAUUCUCCAUCUACAACAAGAAAAAUUAUAAAUUAUAAACAUAUAAACUUAAAUUAAGAAAAACUAACAUUAGAAAAACAAGAAGUUAAUGUAAAAGAAAAAAACUGAUAAAUAAUAUUAUAAAUAAAAUAAAUUUAUAAGACAAAAUCCGCGCGAAACGCGGAAAAAAUCUCUAGUAAGUGUAAAAGAAGGAGUAUAGUAUAAUGAUAGCGAUUUCAUGUAAUUUUCCCCCCUUUUUUUCAUGCGCGCAGCGAAUUAAACCACAAUCACAUGAAGCGUCUCGAUUUCCAUCAAAAAGGAGUCAAUUAAACGCUGAUCCGAGUAUUAUCAUUUGUUUUGGCCUAAUUGUUUUCCUAAUUCAUACAUAUAAUUAUUGUUUUAUCCUCUAUGACAUCUACGGUUUAACAAACAACUUAUACUCUUCUACCGAUAUCGUAAAGUUGAUGGGCGGCAUAACUAUCAUCAACAUAGACAUUAAUAUUAAUGAAUGUCCAUGUUACACCUCCCAAAAUCCAAAGUCAACUUUGACUAUAUAAUUCACAUAUCCCGACAGCCAAAUACGCGUAUGUAUAAAGUUGCGUACGUAUCGUCAAUCUCCCUUCACGAAUGGCUAGAUGCUACGGUACAUCGUAAUUAUGCUAUCUAGUGGGUCCAAUCUAUGUUGAAUGAAUCCGUACAAGAGAAAUAAAGUUGCUAUUUUUCUGAGGCAAUAUGACAAGUAAGUAGUGGACUAGCGAACAAGUCGGUAGGUUUUAACCACGUCGAGUGAACAUAAAUACACAAUACGCAUGCGCGGAUGCGCCUGCGAAUGAAUAUAACAGGCAUUGUAAUUUUGUAUGUGAAAAGUAAUUAUGCAAUGUAAUGGAUCAAUACACGAUACACGUGCCCCACUCUGUUCGUAUGGCUACAGUUUCUAGAAUUAGUCUGAACUUAGAUUAAUGUAUAAUCGUUAUAAACUUAUUAAAUAAUCAAAAAAAAACUUAUUAAAUAACAACGACUCGUUCAUAAAAUUCCAACAGAUGACAAAAAGAGGUAAAAUGACACAGUAAGAGUACACAAACUCACAACCGUAACAGAAAAUAAAGAAUCCAAACUCACAUCUAAACUAUGCCUCCUAGCCACGAGGGAUCACAAAAAGAUCUAGAUAAUGAUAAACAAGUAAAUGUCGAAUUUAUUACAACUAAACAUGUUUGUAAUAGUCAGUAGAUUAAUUAACAGAAACAAAUAAGAAAAUAUUGUUUUUUUGGCUUGAGAACUCAAGCAUUGUAAAUAGUUUUCUCAGCUACCAGUGGCGGAAGUUAAGGCCGCAACUUUUUUACCAAAAAUUGUUAUACACCAAAAUAAAAAUUGUUUGGAGAAGGUUAAAUAAGGCAAAAGCAAACGGUCGGUGACACACAACAUGACAACACAAGUAUUCGUGUCCUCUUCAGAAAACUCUAUAUCCCUUCGUCGGACAAUCCAUCUUCUUCUUCCCAACUGUCUCUUUGCUUCACAGCUUUCUAUACAAACCUUUGAUUCUUCCUUUUUUAAAAUAGUAAUAAUCCAUCUCUUUGUACUUCUUUUCGUCCUUUUUAAUUCUGUCUGGUUUGGUCUCGUCGUCACCAUAGAGAGAAUUUAGUUGAAUGGUCUCUGUGUCCAGUCUCUCCACCACUGCUUCUCCUUCGGGAUAUGUUUGUUCCCAUUUCGAAGAAACUAAGUGAAGAAUAACCAACCCACGUAUGCAAGUUUAACUCUUUUAUUUAUUUUGAACUCAGUUUCUCGAACUCUGCGAUUGCUUAUUUUGUAAAUUUCUUUUUUUAUAUAUAUAUAUUUUACUUUGUAAAAUUGUUAUAAAUAAAAAGCCUUUGUAGGUUGCUUGGUUGGAAGCAAAACUGGCAGUUGUGGUCCUUGUUGAACAUUCCUCUUUUGAGAAGAAAAAAAAAACUUAAAAGCAGCAUUGUGCUCUAAGCUUGGUUCUAUAGUUUGAACAACGCUCGAGAAACAAUGGAUCACUUGUCUCAAGAGGAAGAUUUGCAGUUCUUUGAUGCAUCAUCUCCAAGUGGUUUUGAUUUUGAUCCUGGAAGUGUUGUGGAGCGGCGGAAGAAGUUCUUGGAGUGGAUGGGACUCGAACAAGUUCUUGUUCAACCGAAAAACUCAGAUGCUGAAUCUGGUCUCGAUGGAGAUUCUGUUGAAGCUGCCGAGCAGAGAUCUGGAGGGUGCAGCUUCUCUUCUACGCAGGUAUCUUCCUCUGGUUCAAGUGAGGAAUUGUCUCUGAGAGUUGAUAAAAAUGUCGGUGGAUGCGAUGCAACGAGAAGGCAAAGCUCUUCAAUGGCAUCGUGUUCUGAUCCUACAUGUUGUCAAGUGAUGGAAACAGAGAAGCAGAGCACCAUUUUCAAGAAGGGAUGGUUAAGGAGGCUACGGUCUAUGGGAUGUUCCACGGGUACAAAGAUCCAAUCCGGUGUGCUUUCAAGAGUUAAGGUCAAGCAUUACAAGAAACAGACCAAGGAGCUUUCAGCUCUUUAUCAUAGCCAAGACAUUAAAGCACACAAUGGUUCCAUUUCAUCGAUGAAAUUUAGCUUCGAUGGGAAGUAUCUUGCCAGCUCUGGUGAAGAUGGGGUUGUACGCGUGUGGGAAGUCACUGAAGAUAAAAGAUCUACACUACAAAGAGAUUACCUUAACCCUUCGUGUGUGUACUUUGAGCUAAACGAUCACUCCCAGUUGAAACCGAACAAGACCACAGAAAAGUUCAAGAAAACAUCUGAUUCAGUAUGUGUUGUCUUCCCUCCAAAAGCUUUCCGGAUAAUGGAGAAACCUUUACAUGAGUUCCGCGGCCACACGGGUGAAGUCUUGGACAUCUCAUGGUCAAAGGAUAAUGUAAGCUUCCAAAAUCUUUACAAAUAUUGCUUUUAAUGCAAGUAAACAAAAAAAAAAACUAAGGGAUUUUUUGUGUAAUUUCUUGGUGUUAGUAUCUUCUCUCAGCUUCAAUGGAUAAAACUGUUCGGCUAUGGAAAGUCGGUAGCAAUGCUUGUCUUGGAGUCUUCCCUCACAAUAGUUAUGGUAUGUUGUUACUUUUACAAUUUUAUUACAUCUUAUUUUAUUUUUUUAUAAUACAAGGAGGUUCAGUGCCGAAUACUGUAAUCUCCUUACACCCGAAACCUAACCGCAACAUUUAAUAUUAGUUUCCUUCCAGUGGUCACUCGAACCAGGGACCUCUGACACAAUGGCCAGGAUCCAAUUCAGCACUUUUAUUAAAUAUUAGUUACUACUUUGAUCUGACAUUAUCUUUCUUUUCUUUGUUUUUGCAGUAACUUGUGUUCAGUUCAACCCGGUGAAUGAGGACUACUUCAUGAGCGGUUCGGUUGAUGGAAAAGUUAGAAUCUGGAACAUUUCUGGUUGCAAUGUUGUUGAUUGGGCUGAUGUCAAAGACAUUAUAUCUGCAGUGUGUUACCGCCCUGAUGGACAGGGAGGAGUUAUCGGUUCUCUAACCGGAAGUUGCAGAUUCUUUAACAUGUCUGGAGAGUAUUUAGCGCUGGACUCUCAGAUACAUUUUCAUAACAAAAAGAUAUCUCCAAAUAAACGGAUCACUUGUUUCCAGGUAAUUAUAUUAUCACUCUUUGUUUCUCCUUGUCUUGAUACUUUGUUUACUUCUCUUGCCAUUGUGAGAUGUUAACAAAUAUUCAUGUUUUGUUUUCCUUCCAGUUUUUACCUCAAGACCCUAGCAAAGUCUUGGUUGUUUCCGCGGAUUCCAAAGUUAGAAUUCUUCAAGGCAGCGAUGUUGUUAGAAGAUACAAAGGUAUGUUGUUGUUUUUUUUUGUCAACUACAAUAAUGUCUAGUGUACAUGUAAAAAUACUACUCCUCUGGUCCUAGCCUCUUUUGCUAAUGAUGUUAUGUUAUGUAUUUUCAACUUUCAUUUUCUUUUGCAUACCUCUAUGGUUGUUUCUAAACUAGUCUCAUCUCUCUCUUUUAUUUUUUGCCUCACAUUAGGGUCUCCUAAGUCUGAUGGAAAGUACAUUGUUUCAGCUCGUGAGGACUCCAAUGUAUAUAUAUGGAGCAAUGGAAAAGAGUCAGAUUCUUUUUCUUCUUAUUCUCAAACCAAAAGGAUUAGAUCUUUUGAACGUUUCUCCACCAAUGCAUCCGUGGCAGCAACCUGGUGUGGGUUCUCAGAUCACAACAGAACUAUCCCGUUUUCUUCACCGCCUUGCUUAUCCCUCAAGGAAAGUGGAUCAGUUCCCAAGGGAAACGCGACGUGGCCAGAGGAAAAUUUAACAGAAAAUCCUCUUUCUUCAAUGACUGCAUCUCAGUACAAGUUUCUCAAGUCCUCGUACCAAAGAGCAACAAGUAGCUCUCUAGCUUGGGGUAUGGUCAUUGUCACAGGUGGUUGGGACGGACGGAUCAGAACAUUUCAGAACUACGGCUUGCCUGUGACCGUAACUUGAAGGUGACAUUGUUCCUUUAUUGAUAGGAACAAGCACAUGGUUCUGGCAGGUCUUUGAAGCUAUGGUGGGUCCAAAAGGAAAUACCAGAACCGUUUCUGCUAUUGUCCAAUAGUCGAAAAUAGACUCAAAAUGCUAUUUUACUCGUAAAAAUUAUCAUCCUGUGGAGAUGUAUCAAGAAGGGUGAGUGAGAGACUUCAUCGGUAGACGCAGAGGAACAUAUGUGUUUUUCUUGGUAGUAAGUGUCGGUUGGAGAUGGUUUCAAAAGAGUACGGAUUUGUCUGAAAAAUCCUCGACAAGGGGAUUGUGGGGUCCAAAGAGACAUCAGACAAGUGAUCAUGGAGAAGGAGUGGUUGUGGCUGUAGGAGAAAAGUGUUUUAUAAGAAAAAGAAAAAAGUUUCUAACGGUAGUGAUAGGUUUUGUUGUGUCUAUUCGUUCGUUGCUUGAUACGGUGUCGUUUGAUAAGUUAUAUCAGCUUAUUUUUGAAUUUGAUUUCCACUUAUGUAAGAUGAAGAAGAAACAAGAAUUAAUUGAUUGUUAGUCAGCUCUAACUCAGAUAGAGGCUCCGGGGUUUCGUGUCUGUAAAUUUACACAGCCAAACCUUUUUUAGAGUAAUGUGAUCAAAUUAGUAAUUUCGUUUUUUUUUUCCUGAACCAUCACUUCUAAACUAACAAGUAUCGAUAAUCAUUCUGUAAACCGUAGACAGACAACUCAAAUGCAAUAUUGGUUUUGUAAGUGCAACCAGAACAAACUUGAUUGCGGUGUAAUAAAUUGACCAUUGCGUUAUUCCAGUAUAGUGGUGGACUGGUGAGGUGUAUAGCUGAAUCGUGGUGCAGUAAAUUGACCAAGUAAUAUAACAAUUAAAGUACAUAAAUAUUUUUUAUUAUAUAUUUUCUAAGGGUGUAACUGGUAAACAAAUAUAAAAUUUGUGAAAUUUAAAAUAAAUGGAAUGGUAAGAAUGGAAUAUAACAAAAAAAAAUAGAAUGAAAUUCAUUCCAUUCAUUCAUGAUCAAAUUUGUUAUGAAAUGAUUUUCUUUGUAUUUUCUCUAUUUAUUUUUGGAAUUGAUGGAAUGAGUAUUUCAUUUCAUUCAUGUCAAAUGGUAAAAAAAAUUUUGAAAUUAAUGGAAUAGACUAUUCCAUAUCAUUUCAUUCCAAAAAUCUUCCAUCCAGUUGCAGCCAAAGUGUGUUGUUCAAAAAAAAAAAUUCUAAGUGUGCAUUUAUGUUUUACAUUGAAUAAUACGGUUAUAAUAAUUUUGUAUAGUAUCAAGAGCGCAUCUGGUGUAGUGGUAUCAUAGUACCCUCCCACGGUACUGACCAGGGUUCGAUUCCCUGGAUGCGCAUAUUUUGUUUUUAUAAUCCGUUCUCCAUUUUAGUUUUAUGUUUUGUUUCCUGGCAUUAGCAGUUUCAUAAAUUAGUCUGCAAUUUGGCAAAAACGUCCAACUAAUUGGUUAGAAAUAGUCUUGUAGGAUAUUCGAGUGUACAGAACACUAAACCAACUUGAUUUUAACAAUUAUAACUAAGUGUCUGACUGGUUCAAAUGCAGCGGUUGCGGAAGUUUGUGGAUGCGGGCAAUUGCGGUUUCUAGCGGUUUUAAGAGAUUUGUACGACUGGUACUGCGGUUAAAAAUUGGUGCGUUUGCGAAUGACUUAUGAUUGGUUAACUACCAAAUGCGGUAACAGUCAAAUAAUAAAUUAACAAUAUUUACAUUGAAUAUAAUUAUAAAAAUAUCAAAAAUCAUAAAAUAAUAAAUAUAAAAUUUAUAUUUAGAAAGUUAUAAUUUUAAUUUUUGAAAAUUUAUUGAAAUUGUUUUUAUUAUAAAAUUUUAUAAUAUUAAUUAAAAUAUAAUAGAUAUAUUUUAAUAUUUUCAUAAUUUCAAUUUUAAAAUUUUUAUUAAAUAUUUUUACUUUUGUAUAUAUAUUGUUUUUAAAAAAGAAAAAAAAAUUUACCUUCCCGCAACUGUCCACAACCGCAAACGCUAGCUAGAGCCAGCUUUUGAAUUUAUGAGAUUCAGAACGGUUUGAAGCAGUUUAGAGCGAUUUGAGUGAUUGUUGCAAACCGCCGACAACCGCUACCAACCGUAAAAGCUGCGUUUGCGGGUGGUAGCAGAAAAACCAGUCGCCCCCUAAGUGAACAUUUCGUAAGGUCAUCUCAUAGAACUACAUUGUCCGAUAUAAUAACAGAAAAGGAACUAUGUCACCAUAAGAUUUACUAUAUAUUGUAAACUAGUCCUUGCUGAUGUAAAUAAGAUUCACAAUUGCUUAAGAUUAAGAAGCUCAAAAUAGACAAAGAAAAAGAAAAGACUGAACAACCAGGAACUAUGCAUUACCAUUCCCUUAUGUUCAAAUCCAAAGCAGAAAACAAAAGAAAUUCAAUUCCAAAAGCAUUAACAAAAUAAAGCUAAGGAAACCCCUACCAAGAAAAAUGUAAUCCACAUUCAUUAUUACUAUAUGAACGAUAAUAAACAAAAGACCAAAACAACCUAAGCUUUUGCUUCAGAUUCAAGGCUUCCUCUCUUGUUCCUAGUGUUGGUGCUUCACCUCGUUGAGAUUUUGUCCUACCGUUGCGUCAACUAGGUCAUCCUCGUUUUUGCUGAGGAAGUUGUCCACCUGAGAUGCAGCUUGACGUCCUUCUGAGAUAGCCCAAACCACCAAAGACUGGCCUCUCCUACAAUCACCAGCUGCAAAGACACCUUCCACAGUUGUGGAGAACCUGCCAUACUCUGCCUUAAAGUUCGACCUGUUGUCGCAUUCUAGUCCUAGCUUCUCAGCAAGUGUCUGCAGAAAACAAGCGGAAGCCAUUCAGUCAUCAUAGCCAACAAUAUAAGAAAGAUAAUAGAGUAGAAAAUGAAUCACUUACAGGCUCAGGUCCAAGGAAUCCCAUUGCCAAGAAAACAAGGUCCGCUUCAAUUAUUUCCUCAGAGCCUUCAAUCUCCUUGAAAUUGAACCUUCCGGAUUCAUCCUUCUCCCAACUCACACGCACGAUCUCAAGCCCUUUCACGUUUCCGUUGUCAUCUCCUAUGAACCUCUUGGUCAAGACCUCAUAGGUUCUAGGGUCUUUUCCAAAUUUGGUGGCAGCUUCUUGAUGUCCGUAAUCAAUACGGAACACACGAGGCCACUGUAUUCACACAACAAUACAAGGUACUUAGUCAACAGUUAUUUAAUCUAAGAAUGCUUAGGAUAACUGAAACAAACCUGUGGCCAAGGGUUUCCAGGAGCUCUCGUUGAUGGUGGCUGAGGAAGAAGCUCUAGGUUUACAAUGUUGGUGCAACCAUGGCGGAUAGAGGUACCGAUACAAUCCGUGCCGGUAUCACCUCCACCAAUAACCACAACCUUCUUACCCUUGGCAGAAAUGUAAUUGCCAUCUUCAAGAUUGCUGUCCAACAAGCUCUUGGUGUUUGCAUGAAGAAACUCCAUAGCAAAGUGAACACCAGUUAAGUCACGACCAGGCACUGGAAGAUCUCUGUAAAAAUAACAAGUUGAAAUCAUUAUAAACCGUCUCAAAUUCUAGUAAUGAGAAUUUAGUACAAACAAGUACCUUGGUUUAGUGGAGCCAACAGCAAGAACGAUUGCAUCAUUCUCCUCCUUAAGUCCAUCUAGAGAGUAAGACGGGUCUUUUCCAAUGUUAGCAUUGACCACAAAGUUGAUACCUUCUUUGGUCAUAAGAUCAACCCGGCGUUGAACUAUGUCGAUUUUGUCGGUCUUCAUGUUUGGGACUCCAUACAUCAUAAGCCCACCAAUUCUAUCAGCACGCUCAUAGACCGUUACCGAGUGGCCCAUUUUGUUCAGCUGGUCGGCAGCAGCAAGUCCAGCCGGACCACUUCCGAUAAUUGCAACUUUCUUCCUGCAAACACCAGAAGCAAGACAUGUUAAUCAAUAAAAUGUAAACUCUAUCCAAACAUAAAAACUUCCAACAAUGGAAAAUAAAAUAGCUUACCCUGUCCUCGUGAGAGGAGGUCUUGGUACCAUCCACCCUUCCUCAAAGGCUUUAUCUAUAAUAGAACACUCGAUACUCUUGAUAGAAACGGGGUUCUCGAUUAUACCAAGAACACAUGAACCUUCACACGGUGCCGGGCAUACUCUCCCAGUAAACUCAGGGAAGUUAUUCGUCUCAAGUAGACGAUUCAGCGCUUCUUGCCAUCUGUUUUGGUAAACAAGUUCAUUGAACUCAGGGAUCUUGUUACCUAAGGGACACCCAGAGUUCUCCUGCAAAUUGAAAAUAAAAGAAAAAGUUAAUCAUAAUAUUUAUGAGGAUAACAAACAAAGGCAAUUUAACAUAACAUAUGAGAAUAAAUAUACCUGGUGGCAGAAAGGAGUUCCACAGUCCAUGCAACGAGCAGACUGAGUCUUGAGAAGCGGUCCGGGCUUUGAUUCCUCCAUGACUUCGUUCCAGUCAUUCAUACGAACAUUGGGAUCUCUGUACUUAACUCCCUCACGCUCAUAAGCGAUGAAGCCACGAUGCUUAACAGCAUUAUCUACCAGAGAAGGCUUCUUCGGAGCUUCAGUGGCAGCUCCGUUUCCGGACACAACCUCUUUCGAAGAGGCAGCUGCUGCCAUGUUCUUCAGCUCUGCAAAGGCGUCCUUCUCCUCAAGUUCCUUCUCUUCCAUCUCCUCAGCUUCUUCAGCAGCACGAUCAAUCGCUUGCUUGGAGACCUCCUCGUCCUUCAUGGCCGCCAAAACACGCUUGUAAUCUCUAGGGAAGACCUUGAUAAACUUCGGAAGCAGAUUCUCAAAGUCUCCGAGAACCUCUUGUGCAAGUUGGCUGUUUGUGUGUCGUUGAUGCUGCUGGAUCAUCAUCUUGAGUAUGUCGAUUUUGUCGGUCUUCAUGUUUGGGACUCCAUACAUCAUAAGCCCACCAAUUCUAUCAGCACGCUCAUAGACCGUUACCGAGUGGCCCAUUUUGUUCAGCUGGUCGGCAGCAGCAAGUCCAGCCGGACCACUUCCGAUAAUUGCAACUUUCUUCCUGCAAACACCAGAAGCAAGACAUGUUAAUCAAUAAAAUGUAAACUCUAUCCAAACAUAAAAACUUCCAACAAUGGAAAAUAAAAUAGCUUACCCUGUCCUCGUGAGAGGAGGUCUUGGUACCAUCCACCCUUCCUCAAAGGCUUUAUCUAUAAUAGAACACUCGAUACUCUUGAUAGAAACGGGGUUCUCGAUUAUACCAAGAACACAUGAACCUUCACACGGUGCCGGGCAUACUCUCCCAGUAAACUCAGGGAAGUUAUUCGUCUCAAGUAGACGAUUCAGCGCUUCUUGCCAUCUGUUUUGGUAAACAAGUUCAUUGAACUCAGGGAUCUUGUUACCUAAGGGACACCCAGAGUUCUCCUGCAAAUUGAAAAUAAAAGAAAAAGUUAAUCAUAAUAUUUAUGAGGAUAACAAACAAAGGCAAUUUAACAUAACAUAUGAGAAUAAAUAUACCUGGUGGCAGAAAGGAGUUCCACAGUCCAUGCAACGAGCAGACUGAGUCUUGAGAAGCGGUCCGGGCUUUGAUUCCUCCAUGACUUCGUUCCAGUCAUUCAUACGAACAUUGGGAUCUCUGUACUUAACUCCCUCACGCUCAUAAGCGAUGAAGCCACGAUGCUUAACAGCAUUAUCUACCAGAGAAGGCUUCUUCGGAGCUUCAGUGGCAGCUCCGUUUCCGGACACAACCUCUUUCGAAGAGGCAGCUGCUGCCAUGUUCUUCAGCUCUGCAAAGGCGUCCUUCUCCUCAAGUUCCUUCUCUUCCAUCUCCUCAGCUUCUUCAGCAGCACGAUCAAUCGCUUGCUUGGAGACCUCCUCGUCCUUCAUGGCCGCCAAAACACGCUUGUAAUCUCUAGGGAAGACCUUGAUAAACUUCGGAAGCAGAUUCUCAAAGUCUCCGAGAACCUCUUGUGCAAGUUGGCUGUUUGUGUGUCGUUGAUGCUGCUGGAUCAUCAUCUUGAGCGUCAUUUUAUCUUCAUCAUCUUCAACUUUGUCCAGAUCAACGAGUUCAAGGUUGCACCUCGUGUGAAACUCCCCAUCCACGUCGAGGACAUAAGCAAUGCCACCGCUCAUACCAGCAGCAAAGUUUCUACCAGUCUUUCCAAGCACCACAACAGUUCCACCAGUCAUGUACUCACAACCGUGAUCACCAACACCUUCCACAACGGCUUGAGCACCAGAGUUACGAACAGAGAAUCUCUCAGCCGCCAUUCCAUUAAAGUAGGCUUCACCACUAGUGGCACCGUAAAGCGCCACGUUACCAAUAACAAUAUUCUCUUUGGGAUCAAAGCUGCUUCCUUUAGGAGGGUAGACAACAACUUUACCUCCGGAGAGACCUUUACCAACAUAGUCGUUGCUAUCACCCUCAAGCUCUAGCGUAAUACCAGGACACAAGAAAGCUCCAAGACUCUGCCCAGCACUUCCUGAGAACUUGAUGUGAAUUGUAUCCUUUGGUAGACCAGCCAAGUGGUAGCGUUUGGUAACCUCAUGGCUCAGCAUUGUCCCAACAGCGCGGUUAACGUUGCAGAUGGGUGUUUCAAUGUACACAGGAAGAGACUUCUCUAGAGCAGAUUUGGACAACGCAAUCAGCUCUUGAUCCAAAGCCAUGUCUAAGCCGUGAUCUUGUUUCUGGACACAGUACUGAGCAGCACCUGGACGAAUCUCAGCAGCAGGUCUGAGCAGAAGAGAGAGAUCAAUGUUCGCAAGCUUAUCGUUGUUCUUCACAACUUCCCUGUCUAGCUCAAGCAUAUCUGCACGACCGAUCAUUUCAGUUAGAGUUCGGAAACCAAGUCCAGACAUGAUCUCUCUGACUUCCUCGGCAAGCAUGAAGAAGAAGUUGAUAACAUGCUCAGGCUCCCCAGCGAACUUCUCACGGAGAACUGGAUCUUGAGUAGCGAUUCCUACAGGGCACGUGUUCUUGUGGCACUUCCUCAUCAUGAUACACCCGAGUGUAAUAAGAGGCGCAGUACUAAAUCCAAACUCUUCUGCACCGAGAAGGGCAGCAACCGCAACAUCUCUGCCGGUUUUCAGCUGCCCAUCUGUCUGAAGAACAGUACGGCCACGGAGGUCAUUAGCAACAAGGGUUUGGUGCGUCUCGGCUAGACCAAGCUCCCACGGAAGACCAGCAUUUUUAAUACCAGUCCAGCGAGAGGCCCCGGUACCACCGUCAUGACCUGCUAUCAGAACAUGGUCUGCGUGACCCUUCACCACACCACUAGCAAUAACUCCAACACCAGCUUCGGAUACAAGCUUAACACUGAUACGGGCCCCAGGAUUGGCAUUCUACACAAGAUAAAAACAAAAGAAUGUUAAUAAAAAUCAAAAGAUUACACAGAUUCAAUCCUUUGUAAUGUUAAGUAUUCAGAAAGCAUAAAUGGGAACCUUGAGAUCGUGAAUCAGCUGGGCAAGAUCUUCGAUAGAGUAGAUGUCAUGAUGAGGAGGUGGACUGAUAAGCCCCACACCAGCCGUGGAGUUUCUGGUGAUAGCUAUGUCUCCUAUAACCUUGUGGCCAGGUAGCUCUCCACCUUCCCCAGGUUUGGCUCCCUGUAUGACAUUAAAGAACACUAGUUAGGAACUUACACCUAUAACUACUUUGAGCAACAAAAAAACAUUAUAUAUACUUUGAAAAGAGAUUCAAAAAUGUGAAAAAUACCUGAGCCAUCUUUAUCUGCAACUCGUCAGCAUUGGUAAGAUAGUAGCUGGAAACACCAAAUCUUCCACUAGCAAUUUGUUUGAUGGAACUUCUUUUAGGGUUCCUUGAACCAUCUGGAAGAGGCUCCAUACGGGAUGGCAGUUCUCCUCCCGCACCUGUAUUUGACUUUCCUCCAAGUUUGUUCAUAGCCAUUGCAAGGGUUUGAUGUGCCUCAAGUGAUAUCGAUCCAUAACUCAUAGCUCCAGUGCAGAACCGCUUAACAAUCUCACUGGCAGGCUCCACUUCAUCUAAUGGAAUCUUGACAUCUGCUUCUUUGAACUUCAUGAGCCCACGCAAGUUACUCUGCUUGUUCAACUCAUUGAUACGCUUAGAGUACUCCUUGUAGGCGGCCACACUGUUAGUCCUUGCUGCCUCUUGCAACUUAGCAAUUGCGAGAGGGUCGUUAAGAUGAAUCUCCCCGUUCUUCCUCCAGUGAUAGUUCCCAGGGUUGGAGAGUGCUGAAGCUUCCGCGCUUCCAGGUGCAUAGGCACGUGCUGGAAAAGCCAUCUCGUGCAAAAGAAGCGCGUCACGUGCAAGCAUCUCAAACGUAGCUCCUUCAACUCUGCUUGGGGUACCGGCGAAACACUUCUCAAUGACUUCAGAGGAGAGCCCAAGAGCUUCGAAGAUUUGAGCACCCUUGUAUGAGGCCAGGGUAGAGAUUCCCAUUUUGGCGAGAACCUUCAUCAUCCCAUAGUUGCUAGCCUUGUAAUACUUCUUGACAAGCUCUUCUUUGGAGUGGAACUCCCCGUUGGAUUUAGGUGGUAUCUUGCCAUCAACUUGUAGUCUAUGGACGGUCUCUACAGCCAGAUAUGGGCAGAUGGCAUCUGCUCCGAACCCGACAAGUGUACAGAAAUGAUGCACUUCACGGGGCUCAGCAGACUCUACUAUCAAACCAACUUGGGUGCGUGCAAGGCUCUUAACCAGGUGGUGAUGAACGGCGCCAACAGCCAAGAGAGAGCUCACAGCAACACGCGUUGAAGAGAAAGCUACACAUUUAGACAAUUAAAAAAUGUAAGAACAUGAUAAAGAACAUCUAAAGAAGGAAUCUUAGAGUAAGGGUUUAAAAGGAAGACAAAUGUAUACCUCGAUCAGACAAAACUAGUAAUGUGUAUCCCUCCUUGAUCGCUUCAUUUGCUUCAGCACAGAUUCGGUCUAAGGUCAUCUCCAACCCUUUUGUGCCUUCUUCUUUAGGAUAAGUUAUAUCAAGAACUUUAGUCCUCCAGCCUCUGUAGUUCAUCUUCUUAACAGAUUCCAUCUCUUCAAUGGUCAAUAGAGGACCUUUCAGAGAGAGACGGUGACACUGCUCCUCAGUUGUUUCCGUUAGAUCACCUUCUGGGCCAAUCAUGCACUCCAUUGAAGUAACAAUCUUCUCACGGAUAGGAUCGAUCGGAGGAUUUGUUACUUGAGCAAACAUUUGCUUGAAGUACUCAAAACAUAACUUCUCCCUGUUCGACAUAACAGCUAGAGGUGCAUCAUUUCCCAUAGAACCAAGUGCUUCAGUGCCGUCUUUAGCCAUCGGAAGCAGCAGCAUCUCCAAGGCCUCAACUGUGUAACUGCAUCCAUAGGUAAUAACAAAGAGUGAGAAAAAUUACAAAGCAACAGAUUAAUACAAUCAGAUAGAAUAAAAACAAACAUACCCAAAGGCUUUUAGUGGAGACAGUAAACCAUGAAUGCCCAUGCUCUCCAUUGAGUCAUCAUCACUAGACGCCUAAGUUUCAAAAGACAAAGGUUAAGUAAAGGAACUGUAAGUUUUAUUAUUAAGGGAUUAGUCUAGUCGUUAGCUUACCGUUACAGCCCCAGAAAUUGGUGGAGCAAUCCGUUCAGUCUCCGGAACUGACUUAAUGAUGUCUUUGAGUUCAAUCUUUUGCCUUUCAAGCCAUUCGCCAUAGGGCCUUGCCUGGGAAUACUGUUGCUUCAAGGCAUCGUCAUCAACAACAAUAUGCUUCUCAAAAUCGACAAGAAGCAUCAUGCCUGGGUUAAGUCUUCCUUUCCUCAUCACAUCUUCAGGUGGUACAUCAACCACCCCAACUUCACUAGCCAUGAUGACUCUUCCACUGUGGGUUAUGUAGAACCUACCAGGACGAAGCCCGUUACGGUCCAAUGUGGCACCCAAGUAGCGGCCAUCAGUAACUGCAAAACAUUGGAUACAGAGUUUCAUCAAAUCUAAAGACAGCAUGACAAAAGAGUUUGAAAAGGACAAGACUAGAAUAGUUCUUACAUGAGAUUAGAGCAGGUCCAUCCCAUGGCUCCAUUAGCGCAGAUAAGUACUCAUAGAAGGACUUCCUGCUUGGAUCAAUGUUUUUGUCAUUCUGCCAUGCUUCAGGGAUCAUCAUCAUAACAGCUUCAGGAAGACUUCUGCCAGCUCGGACAAGAAGCUCAAGAACACCAUCAAAAGCACCUAUUAACAAGACAAUACAGCAACAUGUCAGAGAACCAUGGAAUCUAAGCAAAACUUUGAUCUAAAUGUCAUAAGACCAUGACAGUUACCUGAGUCAGAAGAGCUAACAUCCACAAUAGGUAGAAGCUUCUUCAACUCCUGCUUCGAUAGUCCAAGUUCCUUGCACUUGAGCAGACCUUCACGUGCCCUCAUCCUGUGUGGAAUAAAAAUUCAUUAAAAGUACUCAAAGGCAUUACAUGAAAACUUUAACAUCUGCUAUCUCUCACAUACCAGUUCACGUUUCCCCUAAGGGUAUUAAUCUCUCCGUUGUGGCCCAAAACACGCAUAGGCUGAGCACGAUCCCAGCUGGGAAAUGUAUUGGUAGAGAACCGAGAGUGGACCUGAAAAUUAAUAAAAACAUAAAACCGAGCAUAAUUAGUCAUUAGUUAUCAACCAAAGUAAAAUGUGUAUGUAUGCAACUGAAAACUUUACCACUUGGUCUUUCUUAGACACAACUUCACAGCAUCUAGUGGGGGUCUAAUAUUGCGGAAUUGCUAACUACCUUUACCAACAAAAUUUUAGACUUAAAUCACGGACAUUGUGAUAAUUUCAACCUAAUGGUGUACAUAAGGCAACAGGGGACUCAUAAGACGUAUCUGAUUUUACCAACUCACCAGCAUCCAAAAAUUAAAAACACUUAUAAAGGGUUUGGAGGAACUUAAGAGUCAUUUCAAAGUUGCAAUGCCUCAGAAGUCAUUCCUCAACCUCGCAUCUCCUUGGUUACCCCACGUUUGGUUCCCAUGCUGUUUGUGGAGCAUGGAGUCAGCAAUAAAAUGAAGAGAUUCUGAAUAGAAUAUUUAUUUACCAGGGCCAUGUAGCUCGUAAACCUUUCACUCCCUAGAUCCGCAUAGUAGUACUCCUUGAGCUGAUCAGGCUUCAGUUGUCCCUUGUAGACAACAGUCCUGCACACAAGGAAACAAAGAGCCAUUGAUUAUAUCAUUGCUGAGACAAAAAAAAAAUACAAUUCUUCACUGAAGUCACCACAUACCUGGAAGAUAGAGAACAGAUGUAGAAAUCCUUCAUGGCACCAUGUUCAAGGUUCAAAGCUGCUCGGAUUGCAACCAUGGAAAGCCUUCUAAGGAUGUACAUCUAUCAAACAUAAAAAGUGUCAUUAGCCUAGUCUCUCACUAAGAACAAAAGAAUAUAAGAUGACAAUGUAAAACAAUACCUGUUGCUCAAGGUCAACUUGGGAUUUAGUUGUAGGAGUGAGGAAAACUUGCUCGAUGAUCGGUUCCGUCUGCAAAGCAGACUUCCCCAAACCAGAGUUAUCAGUAGGAACUGAUCUCCAUCCAAUAACUGAAUGACCAAGUGAUUCAGCAACCUGAAAAAAAAAGUAAAAAAAAGUUUUCAUUAAGCUCCUAACAAAUUUUCAUAUAUUUUAAAAUAUGGGGAAAAAAAAACAAGAGACAAACCUUGGUGAAAACACUUUUGCUUUCAUCUCUCCUGGACUCAGCGGUUGGUAAGAAGAACAUACCAACAGCAUACUUUCCAGCCGGAGGAAGCACAAAGCCUAGAUCUUUAGCAGCCUGAUCAAAUAUUUCAAAUUUAUUUCAGAUAUUAAUACAAAACAAAAAAAAAACAAAUACUUUGGCUUAAAUCCAAAUCAGAUUCUAUACAAACCAAUUAACUACAAAAAAAAUAUUUUGAUGGUUAAAAGCAAAGUAAUUUUUAGCAGCCAGUUACAUCAAAGACUUAAAAUUAAUUCAGAUAUUACAAGAAAACAAAAUAACAGAAAAAUACUUUUGACUUAUAGUUAUAUCUGAAGCAGAUUCUAUACAAACCAAUUAACCACAAAAUUAUUUUUUGGUUUUAAAAACAUAAUUAAUUUUUUGCAUGGAUAAAUAAAUAUAUUAGUCUUGGAGAGAUAGGAAGACAAACCUGAGCAUAGAACUCAUGAGGCAUACCAACAAGAAUCCCAGCGCCAUCACCAGUGUUGCUCUCACACCCACACGCGCCUCUGUGAGUCAUCCUUAUCAACAUCUCCAAUGAAUCAGUCACCUGAAUUUAAAUUUCAAUUUUAGUUAAUUAAUUAAUUAAUUAAUUAAUAUCAUAUCAUUUUAUUACAGAACAGUAAACGCUACCGUUUUGCGACUAGUCUCGCCGGACAACUCCGCGACAAAACCGACUCCGCAAGAGUCUUUAUCAAACGAAGGAUCGUACAGACCCAUCGGCUUCUCCGGAACACCGGAGAACGACGACUUAACCACCGUCCUCAGCUUCGGAGACCGGCCGGGACCGUCCGAUCUCCAAAGCUGAAGAGUCUCGGAUCCGGAUCUCUUGAUCCGGGUCCCCAUGAACGGAUUCUUCACGGAACAUGAGCCCCUGCGGCUGACGCCAGACGCGACGGCCAAUUGAGAAACGGAGGUGGAGUCUCUCCUCAGAGAUCGGGCGGGAAACAAGCGGUUGUUUCGGAUCUGCAGAAGGGAGCUCGACGAAGAAGCUGCCGACAUUUUUUUCUCUCUUCUCGAGAAAACAACAGUGAAGAGUUUUUUUUUGUUUUAAUGGAUGAAUAUCAGAUUCGUUUGUUCUAUUAGGAAUAUCACGAGAUCGAUUUUAUGUAAACAAACACCAAAAGGAGCUGAUGAGAUAACAAAACUCAGAUCAGUCUGGGAGCAAGGCGGCAGAGGGGGGGGAGGUGGCGGCUAGGGGGAGAGAGUUUUUGUGAGUAUUUGCAUUGCUUAGGUAUUAUAUUUAUAGAGGAGAGAGAGGGUUGUGUGAGAGGAUUUGUUCAGCUUUUUUUGCUUAUUUAAUUUUUUUAAUUUUAAUUUUUUAAUUCCCAUACGAAUUUUUAAUUAUUAUGUAUUGUUUGUUAUUAUUUUGGUUUUUUUUAAUUUGUUACUCUUGCUCUUGCCCAUGUUAUUUAAAUUCUAUUAAUUUAUUUUAUUAAAUUUAGAUUAUUUUACUAAUUUAUGUUAUUUAAAAAAUCUCUUGAUUUUGUGAUGAAAGUUUAUAGACUUUCACAAAAUAUUAAAGUAUAAUUUUGGGUUAAAAUUAUAUUUUAUUAAAUUAUUUUUCUUACAUUUUAUUAUAAUAGUAUAUAAUGGGAGUAGUUUAAUUUAGUUUAUGUAAUAAGAUUAAAGUAAAUAUAUUUUAUGAUGAUAUAAUAAAUAAUUAAAUUUUAAUAUUUGACAUUUCAUUAUUUUAAUAAUCUAGAAAGAAAUCGAGAAAAAAAAGAGAUUAAUGGUAUCAUAUCAAAAAUGUCCAAAUGUAGAGAAAAUAAUAAUUAAAAUGAAAUUAUUUUAAUAAUGGAUAAUUGUGACAUUUCAAUAUAUGUGUGGGGUAUAGCUCAAAAAAAAAAAUUAUAUAUAUAUGUGGGGCUCAGUAGUGAAGGUUACGUGUAUGUGGCACGAGACAACCGCUAACUGUGGGUUCCACCGUAGAGGAAUACUACCCACGAUGGCUGCUUCAGGUCUGAGUUUAGGGUUAAUACAAUAAUUUAUCGGCUACGAGCCUCCGCAAAUACGCGGUUAAUUUGUUUUUACAAGCUGCAGAUAGAUGAUGAUUGAUGUCCAGGGUCAAAUAUUGACACCUGAUAUUUGUCGGGGUUAAAACGUAGUUAUCUAAAUUAUUUAAUUAACGAGUGAUUUAGGUUGGUUCAUAGUUAAGCUUCGGUUAUGGUAGUAAAAAACUAGUAACGGAAAGUCGAUCAUUGUUCAGUGGAUAUCGAACGUGACGCUAUUGAUGACGAAUCAAUUGGUUGAAUUGAACCGCACCCAGUUUAUAUAUUUUUAAUUCCGUAUGCGGCCAACUGUAUAAUGUGACUCAUAAAAAGCAUAAUCUAACGACGUUAAUUUUAUUUGUUUUAUUGACUAGUAUAAUACUCGUGGUUUAAUUAUGUAACUCUGUGUGCAUUUUGCCGCCUCACUAGUACAGAGUUUAAAAUUUUGUUAGUUCAGUAAAAAAACUAAAUUUAAUAUAAAAUCUAACAUUGUACUAAGCAGAAAUAAAAGUGUGUGUUUGUGAUUUUAACGGUUUGGCUAUUUGAACCAUUUUAGGCUAGAUUAUUUAUUAUCAGUAAAAUAAAUUAUCCUCUUUAUUUUUUAUGUGGAUGGCACACGCCAGUACCAAAACGUGCAGACCCUUAAAAAUAAGUUAUAGAUUUGACUUUGAGAUCUCAUCGGAACAAAACCCGCCACUAAAGGUAUUUUGAUUUCAGAUUAGAAAGAAGAAGAAAAAAAGGAAGGCUAAGUUUUGUUUUUGAAUGAAAACAUCAUGUACGGUAAAAUUAUUUAGCAUGGGACAUAAAGUUGUAUUUUAUAUAAAUUUUAUUAAUAAUGAUGCCACAUAAUAAAUCAUGUAAUCUACCAUUUUGUAAAAAGGUGAUUAGCCAGAAUAUAUGUCCAUAGAAUAUGUGUCGUGUCAAUACGAGUAUUUGUACCGGCAUGGACGUUUGGGUACUCAUUGGUGUUUGAAUUCUUGGAUUUCUGGUCUAAUUUAUAAUACACUAAAUCUCAUUCUAGUAAAUAUGUGAGUAUAGAUCGGGUUCAGAUAUAACACAUCGAUAUUUUGUUCUAAUUUGUAUCACAUCCUAAAACCUAAAAAGUAAAUCAUAUAUUGUUUAGAUUCGGGUUAUAUCAAAUCGGUUCGGAUAACCCGAAAUAAAAUCUAAAAUUUAAAAACAAAACAUAAGAAAUAUAUAUAUAUAUAUAUAUAUAAGGUACUUAUUUAAAAUUUAAAUAUUUAUCUUUAGAUAUCAUAUCAAAAUAAAUAUGAAAUUUAAUAUUUGAAUUAUAUAUUUAUGUUUCAAAUAUUUCUAUUGUAUACUAAUUUUGAUAUUCGGAUCAGAUUAUUCGGUUAUAAUUUUUUUUUUCAGAUUACCCGUUCGGGUUCGAUUAAUAACACUUCGGAUUCGGAUAUGUUUCGUAACACUAUUCAUUCGGUAUUUCUAAUAUUUUGGAAUUUGUUAGUUUUGUUAAUAACAACUACAUUUUAAUGCCUCCAACAGGUUGUCAACUACAUUUAUUCAUAUACCUUUUUCAAAAAAAAAAAAAUUAUGCUUGAUAAGUACUAAUUAUGUAUAUUGCUACGUGGAACCGUGUAAUUAGAGAUACACUUGCGAAUUUUUUAUUAGUUUUGUUAAUAACAACAAAAGCAAGAUUUUAAUUUGAUGGGUUAGACUAUCAAAGUGAAACAAAUUCUAAACGUAAAAUGCGGCUUUUACCAAGAAUGAAAUAUCUCGGCAUGUUUUCGACAAUCAGUUUGAAUCGCUAAUAUUAAGCAUACUAAUAAUCAAUCUGAUUAUUAACUUCUUAAUACAACAAAUAGAAAAAAGAUAUCCAUCCAAAUAUUAAUUUAGACGAUAUAAUAUGAAACACACAAAGUUUUAUAUCAAUUCUGCCACCAACCACAUGUCAAUAAAAUGUUAGGUAGGUAGAACAAAUGGUGAGGCUAACGCCAAAAAUUAAAGGUGACUAGUUGAUAUCUAGAAAUAGUUAAAGAAUAAGCUUUUAGUUUGCAUUGUUUUCUAUGAGAUUCAUAAAUUAUUUCAACAUUGGCAUAUUAUUAAAUGAUUAUAUCAUUUUAAAUAGAUAUUUAUAUAAUUAUGCUGUAUUGGCAAACCAAGCUUAAUUCCUAUAAUUUGUGCAAAAUCGGAGAUCCUCUAAUUUGAAACUUUCAAAGCUUUCUACUGAAAAUAUCUCAAACUGUGUUUCGAAAAUUAAAAUAAAUAAAAGUAAAGAAAUAUUAUUUUAAUAAGUGAAUAUCUCAAAUGUUAAAAUGUUCAUCCAAAAAUAGUUUAAAAUAUUUCAAAUGAUAUAUUUAACUAAAUAUUCCAGAUGAGAUACUUCUAAAUAAAUAAAUUAAAUGAUAAACUUUUAACUGGAUAUCUCAAUAUUUGAAAUAUUAUUUUUUAUUUACUAUUUGAGAUCUCAGAGAGGAUGAUCUUACUAUAACUAAUUAACCAUCACACUUGAAAAGAGCAUAACUCUGGUCGCCAACACUGUAUUGAUGCAGCAAUAUGGCUAACUUGGUCUGGUCGGAGCUACGAAUUAAAUUAUCCGACAAGCGGUUGACGAAAGGACCAAAGAGGUUAGGCAAAGUAAGUGAGAAGAGAGAAUUUCUAACUAAAACGGCCAGAUGGAUCUAUCGACCUGUCACGGUUAUGGGCAAAGAUUUUAGAAAGGCAAAAUCAAAUGUGACCAUUCCUAAGAUUCUAUCCACCUCACCAGUCUUACUCCACUCCACGACUACUUUUAUGACGUCACUCUCCAUCUAAAUAAAUGCUACGUUAAGCACGCACAAAUUUGGCGGAAAGUAACAUUUAAAAAAUUAGAAAGGCUGUAAAUUUGGCAGAAAAUAACAAUUUUAUUUUGGAAAAAGCUUUUGGCGAUUUUUUUUUUUGGGAAAAAGAUGUAAAGUGUGUGUAUUAUAUUUUUGAUUUUUUUAUAGUCCAGAUAUAUCCAGAUUAAAACAUACAUAGUCCUCCAGAGGAAUAAUACUGACGACAAAUUUUUCUUCGACUUUUCUACUAAGAUUUGAGACACAGUUUCAUCUUAGUUUGGCCAAAUAAUAGCAACUUAAUAUGUUGUUAGGGUUUUUACUGUCAAUUUAUUAAUAAAUUAUUUAUACUAAAUGGUAAAAAUUAUUUAUACUGAAUGGUAAAAAGGUAUUUGUACUGAACGUAUUAAAAAUCCUAUUUUCAGAUAUUCUUACAAAAAAGAGUUUUUGGACUGAUUUUUUUUAAGAACACUAAUACAGUUUGAAACGAUAUAGUACUAAAUACUAGGUUUAAGAUCCCUUUGAGAAAUACGUAUUAUACUAGUAUAAUUAUCCAUAUAUGAAUUAUGCUUUCCGACUCUGAGUCUUACGAUUCAUUCUAUUUUCAAAAGCAGAUGAAUUUUUCUUUAAAGGUAAAAGAAACGUGCGUAUAUCGAUAAGUAAGUGGUUCUAUUAGUUUGACAAAAAAAAGUGGUUCUAUUAGUUAAAGUAAAACAUUGUUGUCAAAAAAUAAUAAUAAGAAGUUAAAGUAAAACAAAAGAAAAAGGAAAAAGGAAAAAGGCAAAAGAUGCAGAACUUUGUUCUUCUUUUUGUAAGGCGCCACGAAGCAUACAGCUUGACAACUACACCACAACCUCCGAAUUUUAUAUAUGUGAGAUUAAUAUAUUAGUCAUGCUUACAUUUAACAUUUUGUGCUUCAGUUUCUAUGAACUAUGUUUAUAGUCAAUUUGGUUGAUAACAAAUAAUAGUAGCACAUUAUUCAUACAAAUAUAAAAAAAAUGAAUAUUAAUGCUACUAUUUCUACGGUUUAGAUUUCCCUUUGCUCUUGUUUUUUUCUCACUUUGUGCUAGAGUUGUAAAUUAAACUUAUGUAAAACCAUCGUUUUAACAAAACAUUUUAACUAGAAAAUCUCUCAAGUCUCAAAGGUACAAGAAGAAUACAAUAACUGCACUUUUUCUAAUUUAUAAUUUUUAUAAUAAUCACUUGUUAAAAACUGGUAAACCUAAAUUUGUUUUCUAUAAAUUCAACUUAUACAAAAAAAACAAAAUUGUAAGUGUUUUGGAAUAGAAGUUAAUAACAAAUAGUAUAAUGAAUUGUUGAGCAAAGUAAAAUUCGAUUAGUCAUAAGUUCGGUUCAACUGGAAACGAAAUUAAUGUUAUAUGACCAGAUGAAAAUAGAGUCAUGUGUUAAGUUUUAUUAGAAGAUUUGGGAUAAAACUAGUCGUCAACAGUAAUUUUUCCUGAAAAAAUAAUUGGAUUUUCGAUACAAAUAUCCCACAGUUAAAGCGAAAUUUAAGACUAUUUCGUAGAAUUGAUGGUCUGUUGUUUGUUGCUUGCAAAGCAAGAUGAAUGAGGUUUGUCCAGUCCGGUCAUAAACCCUGCUUAAAAAAUUCAGUGUGACGAACCUUUUCUGAUGGACAAUAUGAAUCGGCUAAGUUUGGACCAUGCUCUGGUCCUGGAUCUCAUGUCCCAAUACCGAAUGUUCCAAAACCGUAAAACAAAUUAAAAAAACUAAAGCAUCACCUAUUUACAAUUGGGGUCGAAAUAUUUGAUCGAUUCACCAUAGACAUGACGAAACAAUACUCUCACAAAAGGAAAAUCACGAUCCAGAAAAUUUAAUAUAUUAAUUAUAAUUUCAAUUUUCUGAUCUUAUUAUCAACUUUUUCAUACCCAAUAACAACCCACCACUUAGAAGUGAAUCUGAUGAGUUGUUCUUUUAUUCUAUUGUUUUAGACUUUCAAAGAUUCCAGUUCCACUAACAGAAGGCCACAAUAGAACUGGAAUUAAUUAUCAUAGUCCGAAACUACUCACUGGAAUCUCACAAAAGGAAAAUUACGAUCCAGAAAAUUUAAUAUAUUAACUAUAAUUUCAAUUUUCUGAUCUUAUUAUCAACCUUUUCAUACCCAAUAACGAUCCACCACUUAGAAGUGAAUCUAAUGAGUUGUUCUUUUAUUCUAUUUGUGUUGUUUCAAAGAUUCCAGUUCCACUUGGGACACAAAUUAAUUAUCGUAGUCUGGAACUAUUCACUUUGCAAAUACUACUCUCUCUGUUGCUAAAUAUAAAACGUUUUAGGUAAAACAUGGUUAUUAAGAAAAUCUAUUUUUUAUCUAAAAUGUAUUAUUAAAACUAUAAAUUAAAACACAACUGAACAAUUAUAAAAUAUAACUACCUCUUUGUUCCUAAAAGUAAGAUGUUUUACAGAAUUUUUAUGUUUCAAUAUAUAAGAUGUUUUUAUUUUUUUAGGUAACUUUUACUUUAUUAAAAACUGUGUACUCAAUCAUAUUUUAAUAGUUUAUUUUUUAAUUGGUUGAAUACCAUUAAUUUGUAAGUUUUAAUGAUACUUUGUAGACAAAAAAUAAAUUUUUUAAUAUGUGUAUUUCUAUCUAAACAUUUUAUAUGUAGGAAUAAAUAGAGUAUUAAAUUUGAUUGGUUAUACAAUUUUUAAUAAAGUUAAAGUUACCUCGAAAUAUGAAAAUAUCUUACAUAUUGGAACAUAAAAAUUCUUCUAAACAUCUUAUCUUUAGGAACAUAAGAAGUAUAUAUGGAAUAAGCUAGGAACUCAACAAUUUUAAAAUUUAACCGUAGAUCAUAUAGAAUUGCUAACAACUAGCGUUAGAGGAUGCACUACUAAACCAUCAUCUCAUUCUUGUAAUAGUAAUACGGAAAUACAUCGUAACCCUGGAGUAUAUAAUACAGUGUAACGAGUUGUAUUGUAACCUGUAUACGCUUCCAUGAUUACGAUAAAGGAACAGAUCAUUGACCUGUAAAAAUAAUUACAAUCAAUUCAUUCAGCAAGCUUUGCAGAAUACUUUAAAAUUGUCAUCGAGCACAAGGAGCAAUAAAUAACAAAAAUAGCAGCCACAGAAAACUAUGCUUUUGACCGGAUUAACGUAAAUAAUUAAUUAUUUUUUGUCAGUUAAAAUAAUUUUAAAUAUGCUGUGCCGCUGUGGAAUAGUUUAAUGCAGAAGUUUUAGAAGUACUAAACGGUUGGCUGGGGUUGCCUAUUAGUGAGCGUGGAAAGCACUGACCGGUUUGAUGUUUUGUUUAAAUCCAAUACAGCUUCAAACUGAUCAACUGUCAUUUUGACGCUAUGCAGCGUCUCGUGCCGCACAAUAUUUAUUUUAUUUUGCUCGUCCUUUCAACCUUAUUUUAUUAGAGUAAAUAAUUUUCAUAUGUUUAUGACUUUUUCUUUUGGUAAGGAGCAUUAUGCAUAGAGCAGGUCGGUUGAGAUUUAUUGAAAUACACAAAACAGAAACUCCUCGUCGCUUGAAAUACAAGUUUUGAUCCAAUACAAAAUUCUUAAAAACCCAAAGAACACUACACUAACAUGGAAUGUAUCGGCCAUACCUUAACAGUACUGUUGUAGUUGACUUUACAAAAGUUAAACUAUUAUUUCACAUAAUUAUAACACUAUACACAAAUAAGUAAAAAACAAGAUGCAUGCAACGACUUGUCCCUGUAAAUUUAAUGUAGUAAAACCUUCAGCAUUGCAUAGAGAUUCAAAUGAAUUUUCCAACUAUAUAGUUUGAUAUUUAUAUAUAUUAGCUGAUAAAAAUACAAGCGGAUUUCUCAAAUUAUUUUUGAAUCUUUCAUAUAAGAGACCUUUUAUUUUUUUUUUCUAUUUUAUAGUUUUCCACCUUUUCAUUUUUCUCCAUUUUUAAUGUUUGAAAGACUCUUUAAGAUGCUCUGAGCUUGCUAAUGACUUUUGUAGUAUGAUUUUCUCUCUUCUUCUUGCUAUUAUUGUAGCUGUCACUCCAUACCCUACUUUGAUUUUAUACCCUUACUAUGAUUAAGAACUUUAUGGACUAUAUAUGAAACACAAACAAAACUUAACAAUCAUAUCACAUCGUGUUUAGUGUGGUUCAGUGUACUAAACACAAAUGAUACAUAAGCAUUAGUAUUAUUAUUAUUUCUCAUCUAUUUUUAAUACUUUAAUGUCAAAACCAGUGAAGUAUUAGUAGUAUUACUAGUAAGAAGUGUUUUCAUCGAUCACGGUAAGAAAUAGUAAUGUCCCACUCCGAUUCUUCCAGUUUGGUUCAUUGCAGAUUUGGAGAGGAGGAUAAAUGACCCACCUUAGUAAGUAAUUAAAUGUAUUGUUCCUUACCCGCUGCGUUGGAUAUCAAUUUUUUUUAUUUGUUACAGAACAUUAUUAUAUACUUUAUGAACUUAUGAACUUCCAAUGGGUUAUUAUAACAUUUAAAGAUGAUAACUUAUAUAAAAUCUAUAAUAUAAUGAGGGAGUUUCUCUCCUCCUGAGGUGACACGUCAGCACUUUUUAAAGGGGCCAAAUUUAUUUUCGUAUAACACUUACGUCGCCCUGGCUAUAACAACUAAAGUCUACUUGGCCCAGUGGUAUAACCCGCUCAUAGUAAAGCUUGAGUGUAUGGGUUCGAAGUCCCAUGGCUUCCUUUUUAAUUUUUUUUUCUAUUACACCUUCAUCCACGUAGGAGAAGCCGCCACGGGUCCCAUUUACUUAUAUGUAUGGGCUUUGUGUUUCGAUGGGCCGUUACUUGCUUCCUGGAGCCCAAGCCGUGCUGUAUCCAAUACGUCGUGGUGAAACGCUGUAUUUUCUUCUAGGGUUCACGUGAGUUCAUCUUCACAGCUCCAGGAGAAGAGACGACUUCGUUUACGCAGCCGAUCCUUCACCUUCCUUCCUUCCGUAACUCAUCUCAUUAACGCACAAUUACACCGCCGCUGAUACGAUUUGGCUUCUUCUAACGCUUCUCCAGUCUCCAUUAUAUAGCUGCUUCCAAGGUUAGCUCUCGGUUGCUCCUGACUUUUCUCUCUACGUUUUCUCUCUGCUUAGCUCUGUAACGCCUGCUCUGAAAAUGACUACUGCAGUUUCUCCGGUCGCUAACGCCGUCGUCGCCCGAUCCACAUUCAACUCUCUCCGUCUCGGACGAACUUCUCAGUUCGUUGUUGGUCGUCUAAUACGCUUCUGGGAUUCCCGCAACAUCAAGAAGAAUGGGGAGUUCAUGGGGAUCACGAUACUCCUCCUCGAUGAACUGGUACUGAAUUUUGUCUUCUGAAUUUUCGUUUUUUUUUUAUUAAAAAGUUCUAAUAGUUUUAUUCCUCGAUGAACUGGUUCUGACUUUUGUAUUAUAGAUCUGCUAGCUUUACGUUUUUUUGUUCAGUACUGAAUUUUGUAUUAUAUAUCUCUUUACGUUUUUUUUUUGAUUAAAAAGUUCUAAUAGUUUUAUUCCUUGAUGAACUGGUUCUGUCUUUUGUAUUCUAGAUCGGCUAGCUUUACGUUUUUUUGUUGAUUAAAAAGUUCUAAUAUUUUGAUUUUAAAAUUUCCUUGCAGGACUCGGUUAUUCACGGGUUCAUUCCCGCUAAUCGAGCGAGUCACUACCGUCCUGAUCUGAAGUCUGGUUCUAUAGUAAAAGUGGAUCGUUUUGAAGUUGCAAGGUGCGCUCACACGUACAAGAUCACAGAGCAUCAGUUCGUGAUCCGUUUCCCCCCUUCCACGCGUAUCUGCGAGGUCCUCACUGACGCGCCUGUGAUCAACUCUGAAAAAUUCAUGGUGCGGCGCUACGACCACCUUCACGUUCUUUCGAACACGAACCUGGAGCUCCCCGGUUUGUUUCCAUAAUUACAAAAAAUCUGAUUCAAUAUUUGUUUUAUUUUUGCUUUUAAAAUAAGUAACUUUCCAUAAACUGGCAGACGUCGUGGGUGAGAUACGCUCUGUCCAAGGGUCCGAUCUCCGGAACGAUGCAGCAACAACCAGAGUGGUGGUCCGCCUCUUAAUCGAACCGUAAGUAUUAGUUUAUUUUCUUACAGAUUUUUGUAAUGUCUCGAGUUAUGAAGCAUUUUGAUUAGUGGAGUCCGCUGAUUCGUAGCUGUUUAGUUCAUUGUUGUGGUUUGUUUUAUAACUCUGUGGAAUCAUCUUGAUAAGUCACGUCCGCUGCUUAUAUAUUUGUUUAGUUCAUUACUGUGUUUUGCUUUACUAAUGAUUACUUAUUGUUUCUCCGACAGAGAUGUGACUGUCUACUUAUCUCUGUUGGAUGAGGCUGCAUCGACCUUCCGGUGUCUCUUGAAAGCUGGCGAUAAGACCAAGUCUGUGAUGUUGGACACCAGCCUCCCUGAGAUAGCAACGUUUGUCAGCAUGGUUGGAGGUGAAUCAUCCAAAGUGUUUCCUCUUGUCGACACUCUCCAAGGAAUUAAGAAGAAGGAGCUUGUCUCAAUAGCAGAUCUCAACACUUUCAUCUCCAACUCCAAUGAGCAGGUUGUGAUCUUACUGUGUCCACGUUUAUCUGUGUUUGCUGCGAUUUUAUAUUACAGUGACUGACGUGUUUUCAUGGUCAGACUCAGGAGGCUGAUUUCUUCUGCAAAGCACGGAUUGUUGGUGUCGUCCAUGAGAAUGGGUGGUCCUUUGUGGCAUGCACUGGCUGCAACAGAAAAUUGGAGAGGAUUGGAACUUCACUAAGCUGCAACAGAUGUGUAACUGAUGCCGUUACCGGUGUUGUCAGGUAACUUUGUAUGCUAUGCUCUAUGUAUUAAAAACAUCUUACGCUAAGCAUUCACUGACCAUGUCAUUGCUCGAUCAUAGGUUCCGUGUUGAGCUUGCUGUUGAUGAUGGCAACGAUAGCGCCACAUUUGUCGUCUUUGAUAAGGAGAUGACAAAACUUACCCAGCAAGAUGCUGCUGUCCUCGCCCUUGAUGAGGUUCUUUCUGCUUUUCACAUAUAAAAUAUUCAUUCCCAUUGCACUCCCCUGCUAAUAAGUAUAGUUACUGAAUAUUGCUGACGUGCUGCAGGCUGCAAACCUCCCAAUCUGUCUUGAAGAGCUAACUGAUAAGGAGUUUGUGUUCCAGAUCCGUGUGACACCUUUCAACUUCACACCAAACCACCGUACUUUCACUAUUUCCACUAUAACUGAAGAUAUCAUCUCGCUGACCCAUGGCAAGGUUGUUCAAUAAUACUUGUCGAUAUGUUUAUUGUUUGAACCUUUUGUUUGAAGCUAAAGUUCGUUUAUCUCAGGAGGAAGAUGAGAACAUUGUUGGAGGCAAUGAAGGUGACAGCGGGUUGAAAGCACCACCUUCGGGUCCGUCUGUUUUGAGAGAGAAUGUCGGGGAGGAGUGUGGUACCACAGAUCCCCCAGAGAUUGCAGUCACUCGGAACAACCGCAAGCGCUCCCGUGAGUGAAUGGAAUGAUCCAUUCCUGUGAACCCGUCAACUACUUAGUUUUUGCGCUUUAAAAUAACUACUACUAUCUUUGUUUCCAUUUCAGACUUUGCAUAAUUUCCUUGCCAUCUUUUUUCUGUUUGGAUAUUUAAUUUCUCUUUGCUUAUUAAUGAAAUAUUGACGGGUUCUACUUAUGUUUAUGAUCUCAUGUUUAUGGAUAUAUAUAUAUAUAAGCUAGAGAUAAUAGAGAGAGCUAUUGAUUUGUAAGUUAUUGCCAUUGAUGGACUACAAAAAUAGAGGAAUAAAGGUCUAACUCUUAUUAUGUGUGUAUGCGGUUGUCUUAAUUGUUCUAUAAUCUUAUAGUUAAAAGAAUUUAUGUAUAAAUCUAAAAAAAUAGGCAGAGACAAAGUUUUUCAGGGAAAUAUACGUGCACAUAAAGAGUUACACCUAUUGGUUAUAUAAAAGAAUUUUUUUUAUCUAAGUAUUGUAUAUAUUUCUAGCCUAUAACUUUAUAUUCAUCGUACAAAGAAUCGAUAAAACCUCAAGGUUUAUGCAACCUAAAGGAGCUACGCUUUCUCAAAAUAAUACAUUUAGCACCAUGAUUAACUCAUUCCAAAUCUUAAAAAUCUAACUACAAAAUAGAAGAUUGUUGCUCUUCCCUUAGAAGAUGAGCACGUCAUAUAUGCCGCAAAUUGUGACACUAUAAACCUUUUUUAUGCUUCCCCUUAAAGAUCUUCGUAACACCUUUGGCGUUUAUUAAUAAUCCGGACUCUAUAACACUAAAAUAUCAUUGAUUUUGAUUUUAUUGUCAAACUAAAUUUAACCAGCUUUUUCAACUACUUUUUAGUUUUUACUAUCAAGUGAAAUUUAGAUAACAAUUACUCCCUUCUAUCGACUACAGCUUGGUUCCAUUCUCAAGCUCAAUUUAGUUAGUGAAAAUAGAAGAAAUUAGAAAACUACAAAACAAAUCAAAACUACUACUCUCCACUACAAAACCAGAACAUGAGUACUCCAUUCAGCUUCCCUCACGUACGCCUCUUUAAAGGUGUUAUUUUAAAACGUUUGGGUUCUUAAUUACUCACACUUAAAUUAUAACAAUUACUCUACACAUGAGUAUAACCCGUUACAUGGCAUUAGGAGUCCGUGAAUACAAACAAUCUCCAAUAACUCGCUUUAUAAAUAAAGUAACAACUCAUGAACCAAACAUUACGUUCCAGAAUUACUAUCGAGAGUUUUAUAUAUAGAUAUCUCCAAAAAAAUAUCAACAACUACAUACGUACAAAGGCCCAUAAACUUAACAUUUAUUCCAUGCACACGUUAAAUACAUUAACGUUAUAUCAAUUCAUUAUGCAAACAUAUAUGUGAAAUAUCCAAACAUAAGAAAUUGCGGGUUAUUUUUAUAUCCACCUCAUACCCAGUUCCUCCUUCAACAUAUCCAUUCAUAUAUCUGCGAAAGAUCACUAAUAACCAACACCAGAACCAAUUGGCUGACCUAUCUUCUCCACACAUUAGAAAACACGAAAACUGGAGAACACACAUUCGACAAAAAUUCCUAACACAUAACUACACGACAGAACGCCAAAGUAUCCGGCCCCGCGCGUGCGCGGGGCUGUGCCCCUAGUUAAGCAAAAUUGAAGGCUUUGUUUUCCCUUUGCACUCCUUUCUUCGUUUACAAGUUUUUUCUACAAUAAAAUGAUCGAACAUUAGUUAUAAAGACAACAAAAGCAAAGUGGCAUUUGCUUUAUUUAAAUUAUUAAUUAAGAAGAAUAAAUCGUACAUUGUUAUAAACUUAAAGACAAGUAAGCGACAUAAGCAAAUUAGCAUUUGCAUAGCUACAUUUUUAUACUAAAAACACUAAUUAAAGAGAAUAGGGACGCGACUUCUCGGAGCAGAUUGAGGCCAACUAACCAUUUUGUGCGUCCAUGUGCCGCUUCACAUGUGUGCGGCGUAAUCUAUAUACUGAAUCCUUAUUUAAUGAAUUGUUAGGUUGAACUAAUGAUU